UACGGGGGGGGGCAAGCGUUGUUCGGAAUUACUGGGCGUAAAGGGCUCGUAGGCGGCCAACUAAGUCAGACGUGAAAUCCCUCGGCUUAACCGGGGAACUGCAUCUGAUACUGGAUGGCUUGAGAUUGGGAGAGGGAUGCGGAAUUCCAGGUGUAGCGGUGAAAUGCGUAGAUAUCUGGAGGAACACCGGUGGCGAAGGCGGCAUCCUGGACCGGCAUUGACGCUGAGGCGCGAAAGCCAGGGGAGCAAACGGG
rnacentral:rRNA from 1 species